rnacentral:rRNA from 1 species
AACUAAACAUAGCUCGAAACUUAACCCUUAUGAAACUACUAAAACAAAUUCAAAUAAAACAUUAACUAAAUUAAAGUAUUAGGUGAUAGAAAUUUUAUACGACGCUAUAGAGAAAGUACCGCAAGGGAAUGUCUGAAAGAAUAUUAAAAGUAUAAAACAGCAAAGCUUAAGACUUGUACCUUUUGCAUAAUGACUUAACUAGAAGAUAUUGGCAAAGAGAACUGAAGUCAAGUAUCCCGAAACCAGACGAGCUACCUAUAUAGCAGCUCAAAGAGCAAAUCCGUCUAUGUAGCAAAAUAGUGGAGUGACUAUUAGGUAGAGGUGAUAAGCCUAUCGAGCCUGGUGAUAGCUGGUUAUCCAGAACAGAAUCUUAGUUCUAACUUAAGCAUGCAAAAAAAUAAACAAAUUAUAAUGCAGGCUUAAAAAAUAGCCUAAAAGGGUACAGCCCUUUAGGCUAGGGAUACAACCCCAACUAGAGAGUAAGACAUAAAUAUUAACCACAAUAGUUGGCCUAAAAGCAGCCACCAAAUAAGAAAGCAUUCAAGCCCAAAAGCACUUAAAGUUAAUUCAAAUAAUCAAACCAAUACUCCUAAUAUAAAACUGGAUUGUUCUAUUUAUAAAUAGAAGUAAUAAUGUUAACAUGAGUAACAAGAAAUAAUUCUCCCUACACAUGUGUAUAUCAAAACGAAUAAAUCACUGAUAGUUACCAAAAUAAACAUAAACAAUUAAUUAAAUACUCACUAUUGAUUGUUAGUCCAACACAGGAGUGUAAUCAGGGAAAGAUUUAAAAAAGUAAAAGGAACUCGGCAAACACAAACCCCGCCUGUUUACCAAAAACAUCACCUCUAGCAUAAAAAGUAUUAGAGGCACUGCCUGCCCAGUGACCUUGGUUUAACGGCCGCGGUAUUCUGACCGUGCAAAGGUAGCAUAAUCACUUGUUCCCUAAAUAGGGACUUGUAUGAACGGCCUUACGAGGGUUUUACUGUCUCUUACUUUAAAUCAGUGAAAUUGACAUCCCCGUGAAGAGGCGAGGAUUAAAAAAUAAGACGAGAAGACCCUAUGGAGCUUUAAUUAAUCAGUCUACAAAAUAUAAAUCAAUCUAAAAAGAAAUAAAAAACUUCAACUGGACUGACAAUUUAGGUUGGGGUGACCUCGGAAUAAAAAAUAACUCCCGAGAAAGUUUUAUUAAGACUUACUAGUCAAAAUUAUCUCACUAUAUAUUGAUCCACCAUCUGGUGAUCAACGAAACAAGUUACCCUAGGGAUAACAGCGCAAUCCUAUUUAAGAGUUCAUAUCGACAAUUAGGGUUUACGACCUCGAUGUUGGAUCAGGACAUCCUAAUGGUGCAGCAGCUAUUAAUGUGUUCGUUUGUUCAACGAUUAAAGUCCUACGUGAUCUGAGUUCAGACCGGAGUAAUCCAGGUCGGUUUCUAUCUAUUUUUAAGUCCCUCCCAGUACGAAAGGACAAGAGAGACGGGGCCCACUUAAAACUAAGUGCCCUAAUAAAAUAAAUGAAUUAAUAUUAAUUUCACUAUAUUAAAUUGUGCCCAAGAUAAGGGCUU